rnacentral:rRNA from 1 species
AGAGUUUGAUCAUGGCUCAGAUUGAACGCUGACGGUAUGCUUAACACAUGCAAGUCGAACGGCAACACGAGUAAGCUUGCUUACUUGGUGGCAAGUGGCGGACGGGUGAGUAAUACGUAGGAAUCUGCCCUAAAGUGGGGGACAACCCGGGGAAACUCGGGCUAAUACCGCAUAACCUCUUUGGAGCAAAGUCGGGGACCUUCGGGCCUGACGCUUUAGGAUGAGCCUACGUCGGAUUAGCUAGUUGGUAGGGUAAAGGCCUACCAAGGCAACGAUCCGUAGCUGGUCUGAGAGGACGACCAGCCACACUGGGACUGAGAUACGGCCCAGACUCCUACGGGAGGCAGCAGUGGGGAAUAUUGGACAAUGGGGGCAACCCUGAUCCAGCAAUACCGUGUGUGUGAAGAAGGCCUUCGGGUUGUAAAGCACUUUUAGUGGGGAAAAAUGGCUUAAGACUAAUACUCUUAAGAAGUGAUGUUACCCACAGAAAAAGCACCGGCUAACUCUGUGCCAGCAGCCGCGGUAAUACAGAGGGUGCAAGCGUUAAUCGGAAUUACUGGGCGUAAAGCGCUCGUAGGUGGAUAUCUAAGUCGGAUGUGAAAUCCCCGGGCUUAACCUGGGAACUGCAUUCGAGACUGGAUGUCUAGAGUAUGGUAGAGGAAAGUGGAAUUCCCGGUGUAGCGGUGAAAUGCGUAGAUAUCGGGAAGAACACCAGUGGCGAAGCGGCUUUCUGGACCAAUACUGACACUGAGGAGCGAAAGCGUGGGGAGCAACAGGAUUAGAGACCCUGGUAGUCCACGCUGUAAACGAUGAGAAC